GACGAACGCUGGCGGCGUGCUUAACACAUGCAAGUCGAACGGAAAGGCCUUGCUUUUGUGGGGUGCUCGAGUGGCGAACGGGUGUGUAACACGUGAGUAACCUGCCCUUAACUUUGGGAUAACUUCAGGAAACUGGGGCUAAUACCGGAUAGGAGCUCCUGCUGCAUGGUGGGGGUUGGAAAGUUUCGGCGGUUGGGGAUGGACUCGCGGCUUAUCAGCUUGUUGGUGGGGUAGUGGCUUACCAAGGCUUUGACGGGUAGCCGGCCUGAGAGGGUGACCGGCCACAUUGGGACUGAGAUACGGCCCAGACUCCUACGGGAGGCAGCAGUGGGGAAUAUUGCACAAUGGGCGGAAGCCUGAUGCAGCAACGCCGCGUGCGGGAUGACGGCCUUCGGGUUGUAAACCGCUUUCGCCUGUGACGAAGCGUGAGUGACGGUAAUGGGUAAAGAAGCACCGGCUAACUACGUG
rnacentral:rRNA from 1 species